GAUGAAGAACGUAGCGAAAUGCGAUAAGUAGUGUGAAUUGCAGAAUUCAGUGAAUCAUCGAAUCUUUGAACGCACAUUGCGCCCCUUGGUAUUCCAUGGGGCAUGCCUGUUCGAGCGUCAUUUGUACCUUCAAGCUUUGCUUGGUGUUGGGUGUUUGUCCUGAGGGACUCGCCUUAAAGUAAUUGGCAGCCAGUGUUUUGGUUUUGAAGCGCAGCACAAGUCGCGAUUCAAGCCUAUACGCCAGCUUCCACAAGCCUUUUUCACUUUUGACCUCGGAUCAGGUAGGGAUACCCGCUGAACUUAAGCAUAUCAAUAAGCGGAGGA
rnacentral:misc_RNA from 1 species